UACGUAGGUGGCAAGCGUUGUCCGGAUUUACUGGGCGUAAAGCGUGCGCAGGCGGUUCGUUGUGUCGGUGGUGAAAGCCCCGGGCUUAACCUGGGAAUGGCCAUGGAAACUGGCGAACUGGAGUGUGGCAGAGGGGGGUGGAAUUCCGCGUGUAGCAGUGAAAUGCGUAGAGAUGCGGAGGAACACCGAUGGCGAAGGCAGCCCCCUGGGCUAGCACUGACGCUCAGGCACGAAAGUGUGGGAGGCAAACAGG
rnacentral:rRNA from 1 species